GGGGCUAUAGGCUCAGCUGGGAGAGCGCCUGCUUUGCACGCAGGAGGUCUGCGGUUCGAUCCCGCAUAGCUCCACCA
rnacentral:tRNA from 1 species